rnacentral:rRNA from 1 species
UGGCGGACGGGUGAGUAAUGUCUGGGAAACUGCCUGAUGGAGGGGGAUAACUACUGGAAACGGUAGCUAAUACCGCAUAAUGUCGCAAGACCAAAGAGGGGGACCUUCGGGCCUCUUGCCAUCGGAUGUGCCCAGAUGGGAUUAGCUUGUUGGUGGGGUAACGGCUCACCAAGGCGACGAUCCCUAGCUGGUCUGAGAGGAUGACCAGCCACACUGAAACUGAGACACGGUCCAGACUCCUACGGGAGGCAGCAUG